UCUUCUUCUCUCCCUCUCCUUCUCUCCCCACUUUUUCUCCUCUCUAGGGAUACGACAAGAAGACAGGAAGAGAGUCCUCACCAACCCAAGCAGACUGGCACCCUGAUCUCAGACUUCCAGCCCCCAGAACUGUGAGACAUAAAUGCCUGUUGUUUAAGCCCCCCCGGUCUGUGGCAUUUUGUCACAGCAGCCCGAGCAGACGAAGACAUGGCCCGGGUCAUGGUUUGAAAUCCUGGAAGUCAGUCCGAAGAAAAAUUUGAAAUAGGUCGCCUUUCACCCAUACCUCUUCCCUGGUGGGGCAAGUGCUGACUGGCGCGUCAGGCCGGAGGGAGGCUGGGGAGGGAAGGGGUGACUAAGAGGACAGGGGUUUCUUCUGUCUUCGCGUGAACAAGCCCACCACCACAGAGGUCGUGCUGGUGCCCGAGGAGGCUCACCGAGUAGGAAAUGCUUCCGGAGCUCCUCCCCCAGUAGAAGCGGUAGCUGAGCCAGAACAGCCGUGUUAGACCGUGAAGAGAGGUCACACACGACGGGGCCAUAAGACUGUAGGCUCCAUGAGGGCAGGGACCAUGGCUGGACAGUGAAUCCCCAAGGCCCAAGCCAGUGCCAUCCACACAGCAGGCACCCAGCCUCUUGGAACUUACACCAUAAGUUACAAGGAUGAAGCCAUCCUGCUGCUGUUAUGCCACUGGGCAGUCAUUUCCUGGUUAGUCUGGCUCCAUCAGUGGUCUUCUGGUUGUGC